rnacentral:lncRNA from 1 species
UUGAUUGAAGGUAUGCUUUGAUGAAUCCACAAAAUCAACAAAGAAUGGAUCCUUGAAAUGUUGUGAUAUAAUCAUAACCUCUAAAAGAUUGUAAUCCAUGCCUUGUUUGAAGGCACUAGUCUUUCAUGCUUCUCAAUCAAGUUUUUAGGACAUGGUGUAUCUUCAAUGGCAAACUCUUUACAUGAAGGAUUACCUUUCGUAGGAUCCUUGAUGGGCAUAUGUUCAAUCACAACAUUCUCAUUUGAUGGACUUUCAACUACAAGGCUUUAGAUUCAGGGUGCUUAUGUAGUUGGACUUGCUCUGUAGCUUGAUGAAGAUUAAAAGCUAAAGAAGGUGACCCUAGUUCAAAAUAUUGCCUAACAUCUAAAGCUGCUGACAUUUUCUGCAACCGAGAAUUCCUUGACACCAACACAUUGUUGAGAGUUACUAAUCUGGUGUUGAUUAAAGCCAACUUGUACGCAAGACCAAAGUCCCUCCUUAUAUCUUGACAAAGUAUCUCGAACUUGAAACUUAAUGUAUUAUUUGAUGACAUGAUGAAAAGAAAAUCAAUCUGGAGGAGUAUAUUUCGGCCAAGGAAAAGAAAUGGCGGAUACAGAAGAAUCCAUGGAAUGCCGUACCGGCCCGUACCGGCCGUACGUACCGGUCCGGUCCUAGACCGGUACCGGAACCACUAAAAAACUGGUAUUUUCCGGUUUUUUAGCUGAACCGGCCGGUUCGGAGCCCGUACCGGCCGGUACCGGUGCCAACCAGCCGGUUCGCACCGGUACGAUUUUUUUUUUUUAGAACCACAGCGCCUCGCGCUGUGAUUUUUGAAACCACCACGUACCGGCCGGUACGUACCGGACCGGACCGGUACCGUACCGGUCCGGCUGGCCACCGGUACGCCGACUGGUACCGGUACGGCGGACCUUGCAAGAAUCCUUUUACCAUGAUAUCAAACUGAUGCAGGAUGAUUUAGGGGGUUGCCUACUUCUGUGUUGGUGAACCUAACAAUUAGGAAGCUUAAAGUUUUGGCAUCUCUUUAUGUUUGUUGUCCUGUUGUAGAAAAUAGGGCAGGAGUGAACAAUCUAGUAGACUGGAAAGGAGAGGGAGACUUUCUAGGUCCUUCCUAGGGUUAGGAAGAGCUUUCCCAGGGUUUAAGGUUUAAGGUUCAUUCCCAUGGGAAUGCUACUUUCCCAUCUCUCUUUAAUAAUAUUAAUAAUACAUAAUCAACCAAAGCCUAGUUUUAGUCUUGGGUUUAAUGAGAUCAGAAGUAGCCGUUAGAGGGAGAGUUACCAAAAAAAAUUUUUCAAAAUAAAAGGAAAUGAGAGGAAGGGAAGGAUGGUUUCUCACAAAAGAAAAAAUAGCAAGAGGUGGGUGAGAGUAUUGUUCUUAAUAUAGAGAGAUACAUUGCUUCUCAUUUUGUGUAUUGUCCUUCUAAAUGUUUUCAGAAUUAAAAUUGAUAUGAUUAGCAGCCUUGCCCUCCAACAGCCCAAGGGAUUUGUUCUCAACAAUCUACCAAGCGCCAGAAAAGUAUUGAGCCCAUUUGCCAUUGCUGCCAUUUCCAUUUUUUUCGAUUCAGAAAACACAGAAGCUGAGGUUGGAAACUUGUUUGGUUACCAUUUUGCUGUUCGAUUUUCUAAAGAUGCUUUCUAAAAUUUCUGAAUAAAAUAAAAGUUCUCAGGAGUGGCUUUCACUUUCAUUGAAAAUGGAGACCAUCCGUAACCACCACUCCAUCAUCUUUGUCACCACUACUGCCUCCACCCCAUUGCCAUUGGCCACCGCCGGCCACCUGCCACCAUUGCCAUUGGCCAUCACUGCUCGCCAGUUAGCCACCACAGCCACCACCACUGCCACAACCCAAGUUGACUACUAAACAAAUUCUGGUUUCGAUUUCGGAAAGAAGAAGAAGAAGGAAUCUAGUUUUGGUUUUCAUGAAGACUAAAACUUGAAAGUGAUGUCAAACAAAACAUUUGCUUUUCACAUAGUAAUAUUUCUGAAUUGAUCGUCAACAAUUACAUCAUCAUGAUAGAUUUAGGAAUGAAGAAAAUAAUAAUGGGUAAUAGCUGAUGUUAGUUAAUAUAAUCUUCUAUUUAGUUGAUUUAUAUCUGUUAGUUCUUUAACUAGUCACGUACAUGAUAUUAUAUAAUGGUAACAUAGACCUAUAGAUGAUGAUACAAAUUGUUCAAACUUGGCAAUCAAGGAAUAAUGUCCUAUGGUGAUGUAAUUAAGAAAUGGUUUAUUAGUAAACGGAAAUAACUUAUGCUAUUCUCUAAUUGAAGUUUUAUGAUUUUUAUUAUAUAUAUUAUAAUAAAAAAGAUCAUGACUAGGAUAUCAGACAAUUAACAAUGGCACCACCCUACAUGAAAAUUUUUGUCAAACGUUGUGCCUGAAGCUGAGUCAAAGACUAGAAAUGCAAUUUUAAACUUCACAGAUAUCAGAUGUGAGAAUGGAGAAGCAGAUGGAGAACUUGGGGAGAAACCCCGAGACGAUAAUGAAGAUGAAACUAAAGUAGGAGGGGUGGGUUCAACUUGAAAUUCAAGCAUUUUUUGUCUUAUAAAUAUGAUUUUAACUUUUCUUUGGUUACCGUUAUUGAGCGAGAGCUAUAGGUCUCACAUUAUUCAAGCCCAGGUGAACCAAACCCAUGUUUGCUUAGCACUAGAAGGACCUGAACUUGAGAUAUGUGAGAGAACCACGUAGCAAGUCACGUUAAGCUCGAACUAGGCCUAGCUCAUUCAUGUUUGGAUCACUUACCACCCCAAAUUCACAUAGCUUAUGCUCGAGGUAUUUAUUUUUCUAACUAUAUAUUAUUUUCUAUAUGUAUUAUUAACACCCAGUGUACAAGCAAACAAAUGUUCUAAUAAACCUUCAACUUCUAAAGAACAAAAAGUAAUACGAAAAAUCAAUAAAAGUAAUAAUUCUAUAUAUGAGCUCCUAUAACAUAAAUGGUACACUGCUCAUGUGCUUGAACCCUAGUUAUGGCUUGGAAAGUCAUCAUUAAUGGCAAUUUGUGGGUGUACAGAAGCAAGUUUAUAACACUAAGGAAACUGGAUACAAAGGUACAGCAUGCUCAAAAUAUACAACAAACCAGGAAAUUAAUGUACAAGUGAAAUUUUAAAGUAGCUUUUUAAAGUGAAUCAAGAAUAUCAAAAACCAAAGUCUAGAAUGGAGUGUUGGCUUAAAUGAACUAUAAUCCAUUGCACCUCUGGUGAUGCAUCUCAAUAGGGAGAAAAAAAACAUGAAUCUUUAGUUAGUGACAUACUAAGUGAAGAAAACUCCACACAUCAAUUGUGUUGAGAAGAGAAUUAAUUGUGUACAUUUGCUUGCACGGUAAACAUUUACAGAUAUCAGUUGGGCUGAUAAGAGAGUAAUUGUGGAAGUUAGCUUGCAAUGUGAAUAAACACUGUGACACAUCAAGUGCCACUCGGGAAAAAAAUGUGAGUUUACAAUGUUGAAUAUUUGAUAAAUGAAUUGGUGCCAAUAGAGGGAGUAUAGUAACAACUUUAUCAUUGGCAUAUAUUCGCCUUAACACAAUAGAAACAAACCAAAACUAUCUCCAUGCAAUGGAUAAAAAAGUUACCUUCCAGUCAGAGUAUACCAAAGUCUCAUUGAGGUCUAGAACAAGAGUAAAGACACCUUGCUCUUGAGGAUGCAAGUCUGGAAGAAGCUUCUCCGAUGAUGGUUCAGUAAAUCCCUACACAGUGUACAUGAAGCCGAAGUGAUUGCCAAUGAUAGAAAAAAAACUGGACAAUCUGAAGGAAUUGAAAUUGCUAAGCAUAAGUGGUGAUUACAUUACAUACCCGAACUUGUUCUUCAAUUUGCCUCCUAAUGUCCAUGUAUAGCUCUAUACUCUUAACAGGAACUGCAUUGCCAGAAAAAGUAACACUGCUAAAACUAGAUGAGCAAAAAACAAAACCCACUGCUAUGCCAAUGAUACUUGCAACAUGCAAGUCGCACAGCAACAUGUACCACUAUAGACAAUACAUAUUGGGCAACUAAAAGAAAUCAAGUUCAUACACCUGAAUCAAUGCUCAUGAAAGAAUAUCAAGAAUAAAUUUCAGGAUAAAAAACAUCGUAUCCAAAUUAACUUUUAUGUUCAUAAUUUUUCUAUGAACCAAAUUUCCAUCAAUAGUUUUUAUGUAAUUGUCCCAUUAAACAGGAGCUUGAAUAGAAUGCUGCUUAAGCAUCUAGGUCUAGAUGUGUACAUAUAUUAGAGUAUGUAUUCUCAUUUGUACUCAUGAAGUUUUAUGUUUGAAAUUCUGUGAUCGUCACUGAUGACCACCCCAAACCCUGAACCAUAACUUGAAAGUAUAAUCUCAUUUUCAUAGUUAUGGCUAUCAACCAAGAUAAGACCAAACAUAGUUCGACAACUCCUAUGAUGGAUACUCAACCUAGCAUGGACCUUCCAUAAGGUGUCAGGGUCCCAUAAAAGCAACUUUAGGCAACAAUGAAAUUGCCAUGAAUCUUAAAGAAAUUUGGCGGAAAGUGAAACCCAAAUUUAUUGGUACAGUUAAGCUUUUGCAACAAUUCAGAAACCAUAUAACAUUCUCCUGUACCUAGGAAGGAUCUAAGUGGUUAUUAACAAUAUGAAGGUUUAGCACAAGGAGCUGCAUUAUCCUAUGAAGCAUUAAGCUCACGAGCCAAUAUGAUAACAAAAUCUAUGCAAAAAAGGAAUAUCUCCAAUGAAACAUUGUUAUGUAACCUAAAACAAGCAUUACCAACACUGCACCAACAUGGUGCUGGCAUAGGAUCCAACACCAAGAUUGCGAACCUUGCACUUGAACAUGUUAUACUCAUGCCAAUAGCAUUCAAUUGAAAAUUUAUAUUCAUAACAAUUUUGAAACCCAUAUUAAAAAAACAUAAGACUGGUGCACCAGGAUCAGGUACAUGAAUAUUUUAACUUCUAUACCAAUAUUUCUAGGUCUGAAAUUGGGAUCCAACAGCGCCUAGUCCAGUAAUUUUGCAAUGAACAUUAUUUAGCAGUAAAUAGUACUAAAACCUAAUAAAGUUUUAGAUUAUAAAUUUCUGAAUUUGUGUGAGCAAGCACAAACAAUAGUACUAAAACCUAAUAAAGUUCAAGCACACUAUAUUAAUUUAUUUUCCUUCAAACCAGCUUUUAGUGUUCAAAAAUAAUCAGAACAUAAAGGAACAUGAGACUGUAAAUGGGUCAUUGCGUACUCUCUUAUCAUAGAUUUCCUAUCUGAACUUAAUUCCUAAGAGGGAGAAAAUUUCAAGAACAAUUUACACAUUACAAAUAUGAAAUAGGUGUAAAUAGAGAAAAUAAAAUAUCACAUUCAUUCACAAUGAAAUAUGAAAAGUGAAGAAAAGAUAUACAUCAUUUGCCCUACCUUUCAUUAAUGUUGAGUAAACCAAAGCCUGAAAUUUCUGCAUGAAGAAAAAUGAUGGAAUUACUCUUGCACUAAAAGAUCAGUGGAAAAAUGAACUGUAGUCAUAAACAAUAAUAAAUCAAACAGACACAUAGUUUUAGACAAUGUCAAAACAAGCCACAUAUAAUCAUACACAUACUAAAUGAUUAUUAGCAUGGAGAUAGUUAAAAGUUAAAACUGAAAAGAAUGAUAAAGAAGGGCAAAUCUGUUCCCCAGUCUUUAAAGAUAACAAAAUAAGAAUAUCCCAAAGAACCAUGGAAUGAAGACUCAGAAGCAAAGAUUCCACCAAGUUUGCAAUUCUCCUUCAAACUACUAAAUAUAUAUCUAGAAAACCAUACUUACUUCAAAAUCAGAUGCACCAUCCCCUACUGAAUAUUUCGAAAUUGUCUGCAAAGUCCUUGCCUUCUGUUCCACUUCAUCUAGAGAAUAAGCUGUGCACUCAAAGAGAAUGAAGUCCAGAUAUAAAAAUUAGUACAUGAGAUGACAGUUACAUAUAGAUGAUGGUAGAUGGAUUGUUGAAGACUUGAAGUAGUUUACGUCUACUUUGGAUUUAGUUCAUUUGCCAUUUUUAUCGAGUCUUAUAGAAUAGGUUAAGUAUUUCUUCUUCUUUUGCAACGUUUGUACAAUUUUUAUAGUCAUUUUUCUAGUGGGCUUCUAAGUCCUAUUAUGAGUAGCCUUAUCAUCUAAAGGUCCUACUUUAACUCUAGGUUAAAUUAAAAAGUUUUAAACUAAUAAGAUUGUGAUCUGGAAAGAUUUUGAUAGCUCCUAUGGAAUCUUUGCCAAAAAGUUAAUAUAUUUGAUAUGGUCGAGUUCUUGAUUAAUUAGGAGACCUAAUUAGGACUGCAAAUGGGCCCAAGCUAGCUCAGGGCCCAUUGAGUUGGCUAGCUUCAGGUAGGGCUUUGGGCCCACCCUAACAAAGUACAUGUUAGGCUUAGCCUUAGAAAUCAAAACUCAAUUGCGUCAGGCUGAAUUUAGGUUAGUACUUGGCCUGACAUGCAGCCCGACCUAAAGCCCAAGCUUAAUGCCAAGCCCAAAGCAUGGCCCAAGCCUAACCGGAUUGAUGAGCACGACCCAGACCUUUUUAUCUAAUCCAAUCCCAAUAGAUCCCUGCAAGGUCAUCCCAACCCUACCCUACCAUCCAUUCCGUGCAAUGAUGCCCUUGUUCCAUCCCCUCUCUCCUCUCUAGCUCUCAUAAGCAAAUGACAUGGUGGAUGGUGGAUCGUGGAUGAUGAGCUCCCACCCCCUUCCUUACUCCAUUUGGCUCCCCAAUCCACUCCUCUCA